rnacentral:lncRNA from 1 species
GUGCGGCACCCAGAGGCCGUCCUGUAGCCGGGCCGGCUUGGGGCUUGGUUCUAUGUCCCUGCGGGUCGGUGCAAGGGCGAAGAGGAACCCGUGGGCCUCAGGGGAUCCCGGGGGGCCGGACCAGUGUUCCCUAGUUGUGGGAGCAGACGCGUGGGCACAUUGCGGGCGGGCAGGGCCUGAAGUGCAGCUAUGUUUCCAGUGUCCUCUGGGUGUUUCCAAGAGCAACAAGAAAUGAAUAAAUCUCUGCCACCCUCCAGGGUGCCCCGACUCACUUU